UACGUAGGGUGCAAGCGUUAAUCGGAAUUACUGGGCGUAAAGCGUGCGCAGGCGGUUUUGUAAGUCUGUCGUGAAAUCCCCGGGCUUAACCUGGGAAUGGCGAUGGAGACUGCAAGGCUAGAGUUUGGCAGAGGGGGGUAGAAUUCCACGUGUAGCAGUGAAAUGCGUAGAGAUGUGGAGGAACACCGAUGGCGAAGGCAGCCCCCUGGGUCAAAACUGACGCUCAUGCACGAAAGCAUGGGGAUCAAACAGG
rnacentral:rRNA from 1 species